UGUGAGUUUAACACUUCAUGACUGAGAGCUGUCCUUCAUGACAACAGAACCUACAACAACCAUGACUUUUAUCACCAUCUUUAUCUGGACACUUGCUUUCUGCUUCAAGGAAUCUAGAGGACAGAUCACUGUGACUCAGACACCUACAGUGAAAACUGUUCUCCCCGGACAGCCAGUCUCUAUGAACUGUAAAGCCAGCAGUGAUGUGUAUCCUGACUGUUGGAGUUCAGGUAAACCAUGUUUAGCCUGGUAUCAACAGAAACCUGGAGGCGCUCCUAAACUACUGGUCUACUAUGGAAGCACCCUCUUCUCUGGGACUCCAUCUAGAUUCAGUGGCACUGGAUCUGGGAGUGACUUCACUCUGACCAUCAGUGGAGUCCAGGCUGAAGAUGCAGGAUAUUACUACUGUCAGAGUUACCACAGUGGUAAUGUGUUCACACAGUGAUACAGAGCCGUACAAAAACAUCUCAGUCAGACUGCACAGUGACUGUACUGAUACAGCUGGGACCUACUACAGGUGCUGAGGGGGAAGAGACAGUGACAUGGAACACUGAGCAGUAGAUGCGGUCAACUGUGGAAUGACAAUAUGGUUAGAAAGCAAUCAUUCUAUCAAGGCACAAGGCUCGUAGACACAAGAGGCAGAUGGUUGGAGUCUUACAAUG